UUUCAAAUGAUGAAUGUAAUUACCGUAUGAUUUUCGUGAUAACAACAAUUAUGGCUGCAAUUAUUGCAACUGAUUUU
rnacentral:snoRNA from 1 species